UACGUAGGGGGCAAGCGUUGUCCGGAUUUAUUGGGCGUAAAGAGCGUGUAGGCGGCCGUGUAGGUCCGUUGUGAAAACUCGAGGCUCAACCUCGAGACGUCGAUGGAAACCACACGGCUAGAGUCCGGAAGAGGAGAGUGGAAUUCCUGGUGUAGCGGUGAAAUGCGUAGAUAUCAAGUGGAACACCAGUGGCGAAGGCGAGUCCCUGGACAACUCCUGACACUGAGGCACGAAAGCUAGGGGAGCAAACAGG
rnacentral:rRNA from 1 species